rnacentral:sRNA from 12 species
GGGGCUGGUCGUAAGACCCGGGUCCUACCAAGGCGAGGAGUUACCUC